CGACCGCUGGCGGCAUGCCUACCACAUGCAAGUCGACCGAGACCUUCGGGUCUAGUGGCGCCCGGGUGCGUACCGCGUGGGAACCUGCCCUUAGGUUCGGAAUAACUCCCCGAAAGGGGUGCUAAUACCGGAUAAUGUCUUCGGACCAAAGAUUUAUCGCCUUUGGAUGGGCCCGCGUUGGAUUAGCUAGUUGGUAGGGUAAAAGCCUACCAAGGCGACGAUCCAUAGCUGGUCUGAGAGGAUGAUCAGCCACACUGGGACUGAGACACGGCCCAGACUCCUACGGGAGGCAGCAGUGGGGAAUAUUGGACAAUGGGCGAAAGCCUGAUCCAGCAAUGCCGCGUGAGUGAUGAAGGCCUUAGGGUUGUAAAGCUCUUUUACCCGGGAUGAUAAUGACAGUACCGGGAGAAUAAGCUCCGGCUAACUCCGUG
rnacentral:rRNA from 1 species